AGGGAACAUAUUUAGGCCAUUCAGUCCCUCCAGUUUACUCUGCUAUUUAAUAGCUGAUGCCAUUGCUGAUGUGACUGUAAUCUCAAUUCUGCAUUCUUCUUU